rnacentral:lncRNA from 1 species
UCACACCUGAGGCAUACAGUCUUUUAGAUGGAGCAGGUUUUCUGGUCUGAUCCUUGACCCACUGUGCCAUCUCUUUACCUUUGAGGACAUUUCAGUUUAUGGCCAUGUGUUCCUAACUCCUGGUUCACACGGCUGGGACUUAAUCACAGAUAUUUGGACCUGGAGCCAUACUCUUGGGUAUCUGUAGUGACAGUGUGCCCACCCAGUUUUUCAGGCCCCCCCCCAAUCUCAUAGGCUUCCCAAUUUUAGAGCCCCAUAAGGUCGAUUUAUAAAUUGUUCCUGAUUCAACCUGAAUCCUCAGUUUUUGUUUUAGUUUUCUUUUGGGUGCCAGGGAUCAAACCUAUGGCCUUGUGCAUGUUGGGCAUAGUACUCUACCACUGAGCUCCAUCCCAGCCCCUCAGUUCUUCAUUCUAACAGAUUUCUAAACUAAGUUCUUGAGACAGAGGCAUGCAGAGGAUUCAGCAGAGGGCCAGGGUUUCUGAAACAGAAUAGUGAGACCUGAGAGUGGAGAUUUGUGCUUUCAGGGAACAGGCUCAUAAUAAAAAGGUGGGAAUUUUUCAAAACUUCUUUUUGAGUGAUGGUAGUAUGUUGCCCAUGAUUGUCCCCAAAGUGUAGUCUAAGGUGGUUCUCCAUCCGUCCUUCCAGUAGCCGAGACUAUAUUGCUACAUCCCAGCAGAAUAUGAUUAAGGAGUCACACCUCAAUGUAUCAAGGACUGGAUUACCUUGCAUUCUGUCUUGGCUCUUGCACCUCAGGGCAGGUGACCUUGUGUAAGACGUGAAACCCUGUUGUGCUUGAUUUUCUCAUCUGUUAAAAAAAAAAAAAAAAGAAUCAUUAUAGGAGCUAUGUUUCGAGGCUCAGAUCAAAUGCUGUAGACAGCUUUCAUCACAGGUUUGACACUCACCUCUGUGAUAGAGCCCCGUGUCCCCUAAUCACAUCUCGGGCAGACCUGUGGACUUGCCCUCACUGUCCAGAGAAAUUUGACUGCCCCUGGAGGCGGUGCAAGCUCAUGAUGUGCAUCUGGGGCUUGGGAGGUUUCUGCGUCCUUAUCCUUCUUGUUGUGUAGCCUUAUGUGAGCCAUUUCUAAUCAUCCGCAGGAAGGUAAAGAGGUGUUAAGGUGGCAACCUGGUAGUGGAGACCACUGUGCUGCCUUCUGCCCCUGCACUGGUAGCUGCUGCUAUUGUGCAGUGCUUCAUCUCCAGGCUCUGAUGGUGCCCGAGCCAGGGAAGAGAAUUCUGAACCAAGUAGGCCCCCCCGCCCCCCUCCCGCCCUCCGAGAGCAAUAGUGGAAAAGCCUGGUACAGCUGCAGGCUGAGAUCCGGACCCAGCUGCCAUGGCAACGCGAGGAGGCUGCUGGGAAGGCACUGCCUUCAGGCCUGACAAGACCAGGCUCCGCCCUAAUCCAGCCAAGGCUCCGCCCAGAAGCCAAGAGACCUGAAACCUAUAGGGCACUUGACUGGGUGCGACCUGACUGACUGCCUACAGCUGAAUGGCCACAGAUGCCAUCAUUGCCUGAUAACCCAAGUGUGUCUGGCUGUCCGACUGAACACUGAGUUCACAGGUGCCUGACAGACCAAGACAGUUGGCUCUGUACAUCCCUACCACAGCUGACUGACUUCCCUUACUUGGCUCAUGGUGUCUCUCCUGCAGGAGGCUUUUGUCUGAGGUGAUCUAACUGCAGCUGACCAACCAGACCCUACCCACUCGUGACAAGCCGCAUCUGAUUGGUGUUAGCCACCUGUGCCUGGAUGGUGGCAGUUUACCGAUUGAGUUCAUCUAUGCCAACUGCCUGACCCCCUCCACUUCACCCCAGCUUUACGAGAUCAGAUGAGCUGACCACAGUUGGAUCUGAGUGCCCCAAUGGGCUUUGGAACUACGACCAGGCUACCCCUAUGGGUCUCUCCACAACACUGAGAUGGGUCAGUUGACCAAACCCUCAGCCCAGUUGGCAUGGCUGCUGAGUCUGCCUCUGAGUGAAUAUGUAUGUCAUGGACAGGACAUUCUGUGUGACUGGGCCUGCCCGAUAUCCUUCCAUAGCUACCUAUGUCUGGCCCAACUAGAUUCACAACAUCAGCAACACCUGCAUAAGGGCCAUGAUGUCUAACCACUCUAGCUGUGUCUGUCUCUUAUACAGUAGCCAUUCAGUAAGCAAUCCAGUCCAGUCCGAUUGCCUGGCUGGUCAGCUGCCUCAGGUUGAGUGGGCCCAUGACAUUCCUCUCCAUGACUCAUG